CUGAUAUUGACUGUUGGUUUGAGCUGAUCACUCAUUCCACACCCCAACAAUUAAUUGGUCCUUCGAGCUGGAGAAUUUAAGAACUAAUCUGAUCUUAUUUGUCUUUGCAGUGACUGGCGGAUCCCGGGGAACAGCCUGACGUCGAGUUAAGUGCUGCCACGCAGCCACACCUGGGCCUGGUGGCUGAAAGUCCCGGUGUGUAAAUUCUCAUCAGGCCAGUGGGUUAUCAUCUUGCUUGACGUCGGGUGACUCUGGGGGUCCGACAGAGUCUCCUAGAAGUCAGCUCAGGGGGGUUGACACGCGGGUGCUUCCACACAGCUGAGAACCAUCAGAGAGUGGAUUCAGGUCCUAAUCGUGGUUCUGCCCAAGGCACCUCGCUGUGUUUGCUGGACCAAGUGCCUCCUUCCUCCUCCAUUAAAGAACCACUUCCAGAGAUUACCCACCUCACCAUCAGCUCUGGAUUCAGCCUUUCACCUGCCUGUCCACCCUCCAACAUCCCGUCCAGUUGGCUGGAAAGUAAGAGAGAGAACCCCAAUCACCACACAACAACCUCUCCUGUCAAACCCUAUCAUCAUGGUGUGACUUACCUGUUCCCCUGGAAACAUCAGAACUACAGAACAAUACGAUUUUUGUUUCUCUUCUACCCAUGAUUCAGCUGUUUCUGACUCAAUAAAACUGAA